rnacentral:tRNA from 1 species
GUGUACUUAGCUCAAUGGUUAGAGCAUCACUCAUGAAUGCUGAGUAUGUGAGUCCAACUCUAACAGUACACA